AAUUCUACAGGAUCACUUGGAUGCUAGCUGCGUGAUUUAGUGUGAAUUGCAGGACACAUUGAGCAUCGACGAUCUGAACGCGAAUUGCGGCCUCGGGUUAAUCCCGGGACCGCGCCCGCCUCAGGGUCG
rnacentral:rRNA from 1 species